CGCACACAUAAGUAUCUAGUUUGAGUAACGGUAUAGAUUGUAAAGAAAUCUGAAAGAUGGACAGAGAUAACGAAGAAAAAGAGAGAAAGAGAAGGAAAUAAGAUGGAGCAAAGAUUACAAACCAGUAACUCAAUACAUUCAAAUCUUUACGCAAUUUGGCUUAAUAUAUGUAUAUAUACAUAUAGCAAUAUGAACAUGACCGGAAGACAGUUGACUCUUUUUCCUUUCAAAUGGACCGUUUACGUAAUUUUUCUUGCAAUUGGAAAGUCAAUAAAGUUAUAAGUUGAGUCAUGAGGUGUAUUCCUUAUAUGAGUAGUAGUAAUCUUUGUUUAUUUUUUAAUAAGUUCUUAAUCCAUUAUAAUUAAGAAAAU
rnacentral:lncRNA from 1 species